UUGGAAGGCUCCAUUUUAUGGUAUGGACAUAUUUGGACAUUUUUAUUUUAUUUUAGAUAUUGGUUUCGGUCAUGGUUGGGGGCAUUUUUGAACCGGAGAUUAUUACUCUUUUGGAUAAAGGCUUUGUGGUACUUCUAGGGGUUGGUAUGGGUGGUAAUGGUAUUGGUGUCGGCCUUGGUAUUGGAAUAAGCUGGGAGGCUAGCAUCAUCGGACAUGAUUUCUCACUGUUCCAUCAUAUUACAUUUUGGGAUUGAUUAACAUAUUAUGUUUUGGUAUUCUCUUUGGUUACAAUCUGGUUUGUGGCCUUUGGUUUGGAUUGGUAUGGUUGGAUGGUUGAUUUGGUACGGUUAGACUCGGUU
rnacentral:lncRNA from 1 species